GACGAACGCUGGCGGCGUGCUUAACACAUGCAAGUCGAACGGAAAGGCCCCUUUGGGGGUACUCGAGUGGCGCACGGGUGAGUAACACGUGAGUAACCUGCCCUUGACUUCGGGAUAACUUCAGGAAACUGGGGCUAAUACCGGAUAGGAAUCCUUGCUGCAUGGUGGGGGGUGGAAAGCUUCGGCGGUUUUGGAUGGACUGGCGGCGUAUCAGCUUGUUGGUGGGGUAGUGGCUUACCAAGGCUUUGACGGGUAGCCGGCCUGAGAGGGCGACCGGCCACAUUGGGACUGAGAUACGGCCCAGACUCCUACGGGAGGCAGCAGUGGGGAAUAUUGCACAAUGGGCGGAAGCCGGAUGCAGCAACGCCGCGUGCGGGAUGACGGCCUUCGGGUUGUAAACCGCUUUCAGCAGGGGCGAAGCUUGUGGUGACGGUACCUGCAGAAGAAGCACCGGCUAACUACGUG
rnacentral:rRNA from 1 species